AACGAACGCUGGCGGCAUGCCUAACACAUGCAAGUCGAACGAGACCUUCGGGUCUAGUGGCGCACGGGUGCGUAACGCGUGGGAACCUGCCCUUAGGUUCGGAAUAACUCCCCGAAAGGGGUGCUAAUACCGGAUAAUGUCUUCGGACCAAAGAUUUAUCGCCUUUGGUUGGGCCCGCGUUGGAUUAGCUAGUUGGUAGGGUAAAAGCCUACCAAGGGGACCAUCCAUAGCUGGUCUGGGAGGAUGAUCAGCCACACUGGGACUGGGACACGGCCCAGAAUCCUACGGGAGGCAGGAGUGGGGAAUAUUGGAAAAUGGGCGAAAGCAUGAUCCAGCAAUGCCGCGUGAGUGAUGAAGGCCUUAGGGUUGUAAAGCUCUUUUACCCGGGAUGAUAAUGACAGUACCGGGAGAAUAAGCUCCGGCUAACUCCGUG
rnacentral:rRNA from 1 species